rnacentral:rRNA from 1 species
AACGAACGCUGGCGGCAUGCUUAACACAUGCAAGUCGAACGCUUUGGGGCUUCGGCCCCGAGGAGUGGCGCACGGGUGAGUAGCGCGUGGGAACCUGCCCUCUUGUGGGGGAUAACCGAGGGAAACCUCGGCUAAUACCGCAUGAGCCGGAGAGAUCCGGGAAAGAUUUAUCGCGAGAGGAGGGGCCCGCGUCGGAUUAGCGUUGUUGGGUGGGGUAACGGCCCACCAAGGCGAUGGAUCCGUAGCUGGUCUGAGAGGAUGA